GAGUUUGAUCAUGGCUCAGAUUGAACGCUGGCGGCAUGCCUUACACAUGCAAGUCGAACGGCAGCAUGAUCUAGCUUGCUAGAUUGAUGGCGAGUGGCGAACGGGUGAGUAAUACAUCGGAACGUGCCCUGUAGUGGGGGAUAACUAGUCGAAAGAUUAGCUAAUACCGCAUACGACCUGAGGGUGAAAGUGGGGGACCGCAAGGCCUCAUGCUAUAGGAGCGGCCGAUGUCUGAUUAGCUAGUUGGUGGGGUAAAGGCCCACCAAGGCGACGAUCAGUAGCUGGUCUGAGAGGACGAUCAGCCACACUGGGACUGAGACACGGCCCAGACUCCUACGGGAGGCAGCAGUGGGGAAUUUUGGACAAUGGGGGCAACCCUGAUCCAGCAAUGCCGCGUGUGUGAAGAAGGCCUGG
rnacentral:rRNA from 1 species